AUACUUUGAUUGUCCUUAGUAUUUUCUAAAUCUUUCACCUUUUACUGAAGAUUUCCGUGGAGAGGAACCACUCUGAGCUUUAACCAAUUUUUUAAGGUCUUAUGUUUGCAAAGGUU
rnacentral:snRNA from 1 species